GAAGGCCGGUGUCGCCUGAGUGGCGGCGGCAGGGAGGAGUCUGAGGGACCUGCUUGAUGAGGGCCCCGCAGACCCCGGCCGGGGCCUCGCCCUUGCCAUUGACCCCUGACGCAUUUUCUUCGCACCCUUUGCUGGCGCGCUCUAUGUCACGCAUCCAGUGGUGCGUCAGAAGCAUGCGACAGACAGUGUAUGCUGGCCUCGGAGGAGGAGAGGGCAGCUGGGAUACCUCUGCGAGUCUCCCUCAGCACUACAAGAGCCACGGAAAACGCAAACUGCUCUCAUGGGUGACCUCCCCAGUAAGCUGCGCCCCUGCGGUGCCUUCUCCCUGCUUGCUGUGUUCCGCAGUCUGGUCCGCAUCACGCCGCUGCCCUGAGUCGAGCCUGUCCUCGGCCUGUUCACCAACGGGUUAAACCAGGAUCCAGAGUCUACACGUUCUAGGUUUGGUGUCACCCCUGAGAGCAGUGUCCCAUGCAGUGGGCUCAGUGCUGCUCUCCGGGGAGCCUUCCUUUAGUGUCCUGGCGCCUCUAUCACAAGAAGCCAGCGCUGUCUAUUGGCAACAAGAUUCUUUGCCAUUCAGAAACAAUCAAGAUUCCUCCUCCAGGACACGAAUGGACUUGACUGUCUUUACCUGGUGAACUGUCAUCCGGGAUCCCCCACCCCCACAUUUUUGACCAUUACAAAAUGAGCUGAGAGCCCUAGGAGAGUGCCAGGAAGGACUAGCUAAAGAGGAGGACGCUUCUGGCAGGAAAUCUCAAUUGCAAAUUCCCAGAAGACAGCGUUGGUAAGAAAGGAGUGCUGGAUGAAGACGGUGGGCCCAGUAGCUCCUUCACCAAAGGCGGCACCAUCACCAGCUCAUACAACCCUGCUGGAGGUGUUUGUGCAUUUGCAGAGAGAUCCAGGUGCAACAGGGCUCUCUGCCCAUGGCAUCAUGCUCCCUGCUGCUCAAGAGAUGGGCACAGGAGGUGCUAGAUGCAGGCCAUGGGUCCAGCUCCCCAGCCUUGCUGAGCCAGGGAAGAAGAUGCAGGGAGAAAAGCUUCCGAAGACAAGGUCAAGGUAAAAACCCUCAGAGAUAAUUACGAAGACCUCUAUGCACACAAACUAGAAAACCUAGAAGAAAUGGAUAAAUUCCUGGAAGCAUAAAACCUCCCAAGUUUGAACCAGAAAGAAAUUGAAACCCUAAACAAAGACUCCAUCAAGGAAGAAUUCUCCACCCACAUCUUGAGUUGAAGGCCUUGUAAAUGGAAAAUGUCAAGGUUGUUGAUGCUGCCUGGGCUGCCGCUAUCUGCCAUGCUCCUUUGGCAUAAGUGUUUUGGUAUAGUUGUUGCUGGGACCUCAGCUUAGAGAAGAAAGCUGAGUACCAAUGGAAAAUUAUCCUCUUGCAGGAUAAAACUAAGCCCACCUUGGACUAGAGUGCCACUCAGACCCCUUGUGCUUUCUCUCCGUCUUCAGAGGAGACUGCAGACUCUCUGCCCUUGGCCAUUUUCAUUUGUAGAUUCCAACUGAGGGCACAAUCUCAAUUACUAACUUGCCUGACCUUCUUGCCAGGCCCCAAUCCUGUCUGCCUCUGUACGUACCCCAACACCAGAUAUCAAUUCUGUAAUAAAAUGCACAAUUCCUAGCUUGCUUUCUCUUGUUCUCCCCAUGGAUCUCUUUCUUUAAGUUCAAGCCCAUAUUUGGGAAAUUCACUUAGGAACAAGCAUGGAAGCCCUUUGCAUUCUAUUUCUCCAGUUAUAGCUACUGGGUCAUCUGAUUUUGACUUCCCUGCACCUUCUAACACCUCAAUCUGUCCUUCAAGUCUUUGACAGCAAGGAGUCACCUACAUCUGUGUGUGUGGAUUCUCCACCUUACUCAUGCAGACCCCUCCACCAGACUUCCGCCAGUAUCCGCCUGCUUUACUAGCCAUUCCAUCUCUGCUUUCCCAGUCACUUCUACCCCUGCAGCCAGCACAUCUGCCAACUUGACCCAGCAGCCAGCUUUGGACAUUGGUGUGACUGGCAUGAACACCAUUCCCCGCUAAGCUGCUUCUUCAGGUCUCCCUUAGGCUCUGGGAUGAACUUGGGCUCCCUCCCAUUUGACCAGGUCAUUUGUAAUGUGGAGCAGAUAUCCCCAGCUUACAUGCAAUCAUGGUCAACAGCCCCACCCCAACUUUCAGCCUUUUCUUUGGCAUAGGAGUCACCCUUCAGUCCAUAUUUGGGUUCCCUGAUAGGGGCUAGUCAGGAGCCACUCUCCCCAGUGACCCUAUCUGUACUGGCCUACCUAGCACAGCUUUCCAGAAGCCUCCACUCCACUAGUCAGCACCUUUGUAGAUUCAACCUGUAGACUCAGCCUUUGAUGCUGAUGGAAUUGAUAUACAUACCAUGCCUCCUUCCCAGAUUUCCCUCUUCCCAUCAUAUCUUCUGCAGUCUUCAGUGAGAGCUUCUUUCCAUUUUCCAUGGUGCUUUCUUGUUCUGAGAACAUGCCAUCCAGUAUCAGCAUUACUUCAGCCUCAGCAUCCACCAGCUGCCUGCACAGUCACUCAGUGGCCCAGCUGCAAGUUUCAGCUUUUCCUUUGCUCCAGGAGCUACCCCUAAGCCCACAGUUGGGUUCCCUAGUGAGUUACAGCCUGAAUCCACCAGCUGUGAUGGCUCUUUCUCAACAAAAGCUUCAGACUUAACCUCCUUGCAGCACAGCCACCCACUGGUCACAUAACUCCAUCUGAGGGUUUGCCCCCCCAGUAUUCCACCUUUGGCAUCCCUGACAUUACCUAGCUGGCAUUUGGUGACAUCCUAGGUAUUUUCCCCAUUGGCUUAGUUACCACUUCUAGCUCUAGACCCUAAUCAGGAUGCCUAGCACUUAGUUACUACUUCUAGCUCUAGCGCCUAAUCAGGAUGCCUAGCAGUUUCCUGUAGCCAAUACCACUGCAGACCCACUUACUUUUACAGGAUCCAUAUCCCCUGUGGGUAGUGGCAGCUUUGGGGUAGGCAUGGCUGCCUCAUGCUCCAGCUCUGCAUCUGGAGCCCUCAGCUUGCUUGAGGACUCAGGAGGAUACCCAGCACUACUACUCUUGUUGAUGAGGCCUAACUUGAGCAUCAGGGUCUAUCCCCUGUUACAGUUGGAAAGGCCAACUCUAUGGAAAGCAAAUCUGCCCUGGGGGACCGUUUUCUUCCUGCUUAUGGUCAGAAGCCCCUUCCCUAUCAUUCAAAGCAUACCUGUUACUAUUGAGCAGACAAUAAUACUAAGAAAAAACAGGUGCCAGAGGAGACAAUGCUGUUUCUCGUCGCAGAUCACUUGGGAUACUUGCGAUCAGAGCUCAUCUACAGCUAGAAGGACCAACAUCAUGCUGGUAUUUGGAAAUACUUAUCUUCCCACUUUUUGUUGGAAUACCUGGGGAUCCCCUGGCUAAUGCAUGUUUACUGCAGUCAGAGGGCUUGGCGCCAUACCUGUGCUUGGAGCUGAUAUUAUUCCUGCCUAGAGUCAAGCACCUUGGGCCCACCUGUCCAGAGCACAAGUGAUGUAAUGGGGGAAGCACUAUACCUGUGCUUGGAGAUAAAUACUUCUGGCCCCACCUUCCUACAGAGCACCUGAUGCCCACUUGUUCAGAGCACCCAUGCAAUGAGAAGCAGCGGCAGCAUGCCUGUGAUUGGAAGUCCCUGUGUUCCUGCCAUUUGUCAGCACACUCGGGGCCCACCUGGGUAGAACACAUAUGUUGCAGUUGGAGAGGCUGGCACUGUACAUAUGCUUGAAGAUACCACUAUUCUUGCGUAUAGUCAGAGCACCUGGGGCUCACCUAUCCAGAGCACAGGUAGUGAAUAGGAACAGUCAGCACCACACCUGCGCUCGGAGAUACUACUGUACCCACCAACAUUCAGAGCACGUGGGGAGCUUAUGGCCAGAGCACAUCUGUUGCAGUCACAAGAGAAAAUGCCCUACAGUUUUAGGGAGAUGCUUCUAGUCUCAUCUAGGUCAGAACAUCAGGAGCUCACCCACCCAACGUACCCUCUUUGACUUUGGAGGAGCCGGCACCACUGAGAAAAAUACCUGCACAUGGAGGCACUUUUACCAACAUCUUUGGUCAGAGCAACUGUGCUUCCUGUGUACACAAGCAAGCAUCAACCUUGCCUUUAGGUUACCCUUUUCAUCUACCCAAGGCUUAACUGGAGACAAAUGUUGGGCCACAGACCGAUUCAUUAUCUUCCAGUGCAAGACCCAGGAUCUCAGCAAUUAAGAGAAAACUUCUACAAAGAGCAGGUCACCACAGUUCCCCAUACUCUGCUGGAGAGAGGCUCAAUCUCUUGUGUCAAACAAACUGCAGUUGCUCUCUGUCUUCCUCCAUCAAGCUGAAGGCCCACACCUGUAUGCGUGCGUGCGUGUGUGUGUGUGUGUGUGUGUGUUAGAGAUGUGAGACAGAUGAGGCUGGUCAAAUGUCAACAUACUGAACUUAAGGAGUACAACUGUGGAGAGCUGAAGAGUGAUCUGCACACGUUGUCAAUGGUGCCAUCCCUAGCUUUCACUGUUGGUCUGGCAGAUCCAUCUCUGGAACAGUUUUCCUCUGGCCUUGGAACUGGUAGGAUGCCCACAGCUGCCUACAGCUGUCUCUUUCCCACUUGCCUCAAUGAGCUCUUAUCUUUCUUUUCACCAUUAAAAAUCAUAAAUCUUUUACUCUGUGA